rnacentral:rRNA from 1 species
UACGGAGGAUCCAAGCGUUAUCCGGAUUUACUGGGUUUAAAGGGUGCGUAGGCGGAUUAAUAAGUCAGUGGUGAAAUCCUACAGCUUAACUGUAGAACUGCCAUUGAUACUGUUAGUCUUGAGUAUUGUUGAGGUGGGCGGAAUUUGUCAUGUAGCGGUGAAAUGCUUAGAUAUGACAAAGAACACCAAUCGCGAAGGCAGUUCACCAAACAAUAACUGACGCUGAGGCACGAAAGCGUGGGGAUCAAACAGG